AGUGAACGCUGGCGGUAGGCCUAACACAUGCAAGUCGAACGGCAGCACAGUAAGAGCUUGCUCUUACGGGUGGCGAGUGGCGGACGGGUGAGGAAUACAUCGGAAUCUACUUUUUCGUGGGGGAUAACGUAGGGAAACUUACGCUAAUACCGCAUACGACCUACGGAUGAAAGCAGGGGAUCUUCGGACCUUGCGCGAUUGAAUGAGCCGAUGUCGGAUUAGCUAGUUGGCGGGGUAAAGGCCCACCAAGGCGACGAUCCGUAGCUGGUCUGAGAGGAUGAUCAGCCACACUGGAACUGAGACACGGUCCAGACUCCUACAGGAGGCAGCAGUGGGGAAUAUUGGACAAUGGGCGCAAGCCUGAUCCAGCCAUACCGCGUGGGUGAAGAAGGCCUUCGGGUUGUAAAGCCCUUUUGUUGGGAAAGAAAAGCAGCAGGUUAAUACCCCGCUGUUCUGACGGUACCCAAAGAAUAAGCACCGGCUAACUUCGUG
rnacentral:rRNA from 1 species